UACAGAGGGUGCGAGCGUUGUCCGGAAUCACUGGGCGUAAAGGGCGCGUAGGCGGCGCGGUAAGCGUGCGGUGAAAGCCCGGGGCUCAACCCCGGGUCGGCCGUGCGGACUGCCGGGCUGGAGCACUGUAGAGGCAGGUGGAAUUCCGGGUGUAGCGGUGGAAUGCGUAGAGAUCCGGAAGAACACCGGUGGCGAAGGCGGCCUGCUGGGCAGUAGCUGACGCUGAAGCGCGACAGCGUGGGGAGCCAAACAGG
rnacentral:rRNA from 1 species